rnacentral:rRNA from 1 species
UACAGAGGUCUCAAGCGUUGUUCGGAUUUACUGGGCGUAAAGGGCGCGCAGGCGGCCGGCCAAGUCAGGCGUGAAAGCCCCGGGCUUAACCUGGGAAUUGCGUCUGGGACUGGUUGGCUAGAGAUCGGGAGAGGAGAGUGGAAUUCCCAGUGUAGAGGUGAAAUUCGUAGAUAUUGGGAAGAACACCGGUGGCGAAGGCGGCUCUCUGGACCGAUACUGACGCUGAGGCACGAAAGCGUGGGGAGCAAACAGG